rnacentral:rRNA from 1 species
UACGGAGGAUGCAAGCGUUAUCCGGAAUGAUUGGGCGUAAAGCGUCCGCAGGUGGCUAUGUAAGUCUGCUGUUAAAGAGCAAAGCUUAACUUUGUAAAAGCAGUGGAAACUACAUAGCUAGAGUACGUUCGGGGCAGAGGGAAUUCCUGGUGUAGCGGUGAAAUGCGUAGAGAUCAGGAAGAACACCGGUGGCGAAGGCGCUCUGCUAGGCCGUAACUGACACUGAGGGACGAAAGCUAGGGGAGCGAAUGGG